AAUACGUAGGGUGCAAGCGUUAAUCGGAAUUACUGGGCGUAAAGCGUGCGCAGGCGGUAAUGUAAGACAGUUGUGAAAUCCCCGGGCUCAACCUGGGAACUGCAUCUGUGACUGCAUUGCUGGAGUACGGUAGAGGGGGAUGGAAUUCCGCGUGUAGCAGUGAAAUGCGUAGAUAUGCGGAGGAACACCGAUGGCGAAGGCAAUCCCCUGGACCUGUACUGACGCUCAUGCACGAAAGCGUGGGGAGCAAACAGGA
rnacentral:rRNA from 1 species